UGGGUUCCUGUAGUUAAAAGUUAUAACGGUGGCUUUUCAGGCCAUAGGUCCUGGAGGAAGCCAGGCAGGAACU
rnacentral:tRNA from 1 species